AGAGACGCUGGAAACACAUGCCAUUUCUGAUCUCUCCCCGCCCCCACGUGGAGGUAGAAAAGCCGUCUGAAGGAAGACAGUCAUUAACACAACGUAUAUUCCUGAACUCUACAGAAACACAAGAAAUCCGUGGCACCGCAUGCCCUGAACUACCAAAGAAGACCCAAGAAGACUCAGGCUUUUGAGUGGUUUACUCAGUCCCUCUCCAUGUCUUUGGGCUUACAGGAAGAGCAGACAAUGGUCCUUUUUAUACUGUCCCGGAAUAAUGUACUCGCUUUAUCCCACUCUAACCAACCACUUUACAAAGAGGUGCCAUGCCGUUUGGCCAUCAGUCUAGGGACAUCAAGUAAGGGUUCCCAGUGCUCCGGUGGCUCGGCGUAUCCCAGGCCUGAUUGCUGGUAACGCAGUGUCUUAAUUAGAGACAAGCAAAUAGCAGCAUCUGCUGCUCAGCAAGGAAAAGUAAUUGUCUAACUCCUCGAAAUCUGAGGUCAAGACUACAACAAACGGCCUUCUCCAAAUUCAAAAUAUCCACGUCCCCCUUAGCCACUUGCAGACCACCCAUGCUGGACCCUUUUUAUCGUCGUAUCUUCAAAUGCUUCAGCUAAUAUCUGGCCCAAGGUCUGAGAUGAGACAACAGACUGUACUUAAGUGGCUGCAUUGCUAGCACCUAAAAAAGACUCCCAGAUCCUCACACUGGAGCACUGUGUUU
rnacentral:lncRNA from 1 species